UUCCACAGCUCCUGGUCUGCAGCUGCCCUGAUGGUGGCAGUUAUGGCACUCCUCUGUGGGAAAGGAACUGUUGUUACGCAGUUAAACACCUUUCUCAGCAAAGUAGAAAGUGGGCAUGUGUGUGACAGACGCAG